rnacentral:rRNA from 1 species
GAUGAACGCUGGCGGCGUGCCUAAUACAUGCAAGUCGAGCGAAUGGAUUAAGAGCUUGCUCUUAUGAAGUUAGCGGCGGACGGGUGAGUAACACGUGGGUAACCUGCCCAUAAGACUGGGAUAACCCCGGGAAACCGGGGCUAAUACCGGAUAACAUUUUGAACCGCAUGGUUCGAAAUUGAAAGGCGGCUUCGGCUGUCACUUAUGGAUGGACCCGCGUCGCAUUAGCUAGUUGGUGAGGUAACGGCUCACCAAGGCAACGAUGCGUAGCCGACCUGAGAGGGUGAUCGGCCACACUGGGACUGCGACACGGCCCAGAGUCCGACGGGAGGCAGCAGUAGGGAAUCUUCCGCAAUGGACGAAAGUCUGACGGAGCAACGCCGUGUGAGUGAUGAAGGCUUUCGGGUCGUAAAACUCUGUUGUUAGGGAAGAACAAGUGCUAGUUCAAUAAGCUGGCACCUUGACGGUACCUAACCAGAAAGCCACGGCUAACUACGUGCCAGCCGCCGCAGUAA